UUCGCCUAUUAAAGCGGUACGCGAGCUGGGUUCAGAACGUCGUGAGACAGUUCGGUCUCCUAUCCACUGCGCGCGUUGAAGAUUGAAAGGACUCAUCCCUAGUACGAGAGGACCGGGAUGAACUGACCUCUGGUGUACCAGUUGUCGCGCCCGCGGCAUUGCUGGGUAGCUACGUCGGGUUCGGAUAACCGCUGAAAGCAUCUAAGCGGGAAGUCGACCUUAAGAUUAAUCUUCGUUUGAGACACCUGAGAGACUAUCAGGUUGAUAGGCACUAGGUAUAAGCUUGGUAACAAGUUAAGCCGAGGUGUACUAAUAAGUCGAAGCU
rnacentral:rRNA from 1 species